GGGGAUGUAGUAUAACCUGGCUAGAAUAGUGGCCUCCAGAGCCUCGGAUCAGGGUUCGAAUCCCUGCAUCCCCA
rnacentral:tRNA from 1 species